rnacentral:tRNA from 1 species
ACCAGGUUAGCUAAGUUGGUAUUAGCGCUCGACUGGAAACGAAGAGGUCCCUGGUUCGAUUCCAGGGCCAGGCG